GCCCGAAUGGCGGAAUUGGCAGACGCGCUAGGUUCAGGUCCUAGUGAUGGCAACAUCAUAGGGGUUCAAGUCCCCUUUCGGGCA
rnacentral:tRNA from 1 species